UACGUAGGGUGCAAGCGUUGUCCGGAAUUACUGGGCGUAAAGAGCUCGUAGGUGGUUUGUCGCGUCGUCUGUGAAAUCCCGGGGCUUAACUUCGGGCGUGCAGGCGAUACGGGCAUAACUUGAGUGCUGUAGGGGAGACUGGAAUUCCUGGUGUAGCGGUGAAAUGCGCAGAUAUCAGGAGGAACACCGAUGGCGAAGGCAGGUCUCUGGGCAGUUACUGACGCUCAUGCGCGAAAGCUGGGGUAGCGAACAGGAUUAGA
rnacentral:rRNA from 1 species